GUUUAAAAUAAAGUUCAAACGGUUUGAUGUGCUGCAAAUACUGGAUUUUUAUUCUUCUUAUACUUUAUUAUUUUAUUUGUUUGGACUAAUAAGGCCUUAAGGGAGGGAAAAGAUAAAAUCCACACAAAAGGACACAAAAUCACCACAAAAGUUGCAAAAUCACCACAGAAAGAAGUGAAAUCAUCAUACAAAGACACAAAAUCACCACAAAAAGAUGCCAAAUUACCAAAAAGACGCAAAAUCACUUCUAAAAGGUGUAAAAUCACCAUAGAAAGACACAGAAUCAUGACAAAAGGAUGUGAAAUUACAACAAAGACACAAAAUAACCAUUAAAAGAUGCAAAAUCAGCACAAAAAGCAGCAAAAUCAGCACAAAAAAUGUUAAAUCACCAAAGAAAGAUGCAAAAUCACACCAAAAAGAUGCGGAAUUACCACAAAAAAAAAAACCACAAAAUUACCACAAAAACAUGUAAAAUCCUCACAAAGAUGCAAAAUGACCACAAAAAGAUGCAAACUCACCAUAAAAACAUGUAAAAUCACCACAAAAUGGUUCAAAAGCACCACAAAAAGAUACAGAAUCACCAACAAAACGCAAAAGAAUUGCUAGAAAAAGAUGCAAAACCACCGCACAAAGACACAAAACAGCGACACCAAGCAGUGAAAGCCCGGCUGUGUGUCUGUUUUUGUGUGGGUGUAAAGGUCACUGCAGGUUUGGGUGCAGCUGUAAAUAGAAAUGUGGUGCUGAAGGUUUCGGGAACGUUACGUAUUCCAUCAUUAAUUAAAGUAUUUCUCCUGUCGGGACGUUUUAAUGGCACCACAUGAAAAUGAUUCCUGAAGGCCGGCUGAUGGAUGGGUCGGUCAAUAUUGUAGGAGUUGUUUUUAUCAGGAGGAAAGUUCCACAUUAUCAGCCUCCACAUUUAACCCAAUAUUUACUCGUGAACACCUCCAGUGUUUCCACAGCGUCCUGAACAGUCAGGCUGUUAGUUCUGACCUAUUUAACUCAGAGUUCACUGGCAUCAAGUCAAAGGGACCAAAGAGACACAAAAUGACUGGAAACAAACACAAAGAGACACAAAUAACCCACACAGACUGAAACAAAUGCUAAAAGAUGCAAAAUGAACAGAAACAGAUGCCAAUUCUGUAUAAACGGAGAUAAAACAUCACCUUUUAGACACAUAAAACGCCAACUAGACGCAAAAAAGACACAAACCAACAGAGAUGCAAAAUGAGACACACAAACUAACCAAAAAGUGAUCAAAACUGACUAAAAAAAGAAGCAAAAUCAACACAAAGAAAAGCAAAACCAACGCUAACAAAGACAAAACAGCCAUAAAAGACACACAAAAUCAUUCAGAAAGUCAGAAAAACGACUAUAAAGGCACAAAACGACAACAGAAAGACAGAAUUAAUCACUGAGAUGCAGAAUGAACACAACCAGAUGUAAAACCAGCAUAAGAGCAGCAAAGAGACACAAAAUUACACAAAACCAAUACCAAGAGUCACAAAAUGAAGACAAAGACACACAAAAUAAGACGCGAAAUCACUAAAAAAAAAGCAAAAUCACUACAAAGAGCCAAAAUGACCACAAAAAGACGGACAAUCGCCACAAAAAGAUAGAACCAGUGGAGAAUAUAAAGUCCUACCAACAGGUGAAGAAACAACACAAAGUCCUACCAACAGGUAAAUAAACAACAAAGUCCUACCAACAGGUGAAGAAACAACACAAAGUCCUACCAACAGGUAAAUAAACAACAAAGUCCUACCAACAGGUGAAGAAACAACACAAAGUCCUACCAACAGGUAAAUAAACAACAAAGUCCUACCAACAGGUGAAGAAACAACACAAAGUCCUACCAACAGGUAAAUAAACAACAAAGUCCUACCAACAGGUAAAUAAACAACAAAGUCCUACCAACAGGUAAAUAAACAACAAAGUCCUACCAACAGGUGAAGAAACAACACAAAGUCCUACCAACAGGUAAAUAAACAACAAAGUCCUACCAACAGGUAAAUAAACAACAAAGUCCUACCAACAGGUAAAUAAACAACAAAGUCCUACCAACAGGUGAAGAAACAACACAAAGUCCUACCAACAGGUGAAGAAACAACACAAAGUCCUACCAACAGGUAAACAAACAACAAAGUCCUACCAACAGGUAAAAAAACAACACAAAGUCCUACCAACAGGUGAAGAAACAACAAAGUCCUACCAACAGGUGAAGAAACAACAAAGUCCUACCAACAGGUAAAUAAACAACAUAAAGUCCUACCAACAGGUAAAUAAACAACAUAAAGUCCUCCUACCAACAGGUAAAUAAACAACAUAAAGUCCUACCAACAGGUAAAAAAACAACACAAAGUCCUACCAACAGGUGAAGAAACAACAAAGUCCUACCAACAGGUAAAUAAACAACAUAAAGUCCUACCAACAGGUAAAUAAACAACAAAGUCCUACCAACAGGUAAAUAAACAACAUAAAGUCCUACCAACAGGUAAAUAAACAACACAGUUCUACCAACAGGUGAAGAAACAACACAAAGUCCUACCAACAGGUAAACAAACAACAAAGUCCUACCAACAGGUAAAAAAACAACACAAAGUCCUACCAACAGGUGAAGAAACAACAAAGUCCUACCAACAGGUGAAGAAACAACAAAGUCCUACCAACAGGUAAAUAAACAACAUAAAGUCCUACCAACAGGUAAAUAAACAACAUAAAGUCCUCCUACCAACAGGUAAAUAAACAACAUAAAGUCCUACCAACAGGUAAAUAAACAACAAAGUCCUACCAACAGGUAAAAAAACAACACAAAGUCCUACCAACAGGUGAAGAAACAACAAAGUCCUACCAACAGGUGAAGAAACAACAACGUCCUACCAACAGGUAAAUAAACAACAUAAAGUCCUACCAACAGGUAAAUAAACAACACAAAGUCCUACCAACAGGUAAAUAAACAACAAAGUCCUACCAACAGGUGAAGAAACAACACAAAGUCCUACCAACAGGUAAAUAAACAACAAAGUCCUACCAACAGGUAAAUAAACAACAAAGUUCUACCAACAGGUAAAUAAACAACAAAGUCCUACCAACAGGUGAAGAAACAACACAAAGUCCUACCAACAGGUGAAGAAACAACAAAGUCCUACCAACAGGUAAAUAAACAACAUAAAGUCCUACCAACAGGUGAAGAAACAACAAAGUCCUACCAACAGGUAAAUAAACAACAAAGUCCUACCAACAGGUAAAAAAACAACACAAAGUCCUACCAACAGGUGAAGAAACAACAAAGUCCUACCAACAGGUAAAUAAACAACAUAAAGUCCUACCAACAGGUAAAUAAACAACAUAAAGUCCUCCUCCCAACAGGUAAAUAAACAACAUAAAGUCCUACCAACAGGUAAAUAAACAACAAAGUCCUACCAACAGGUAAAAAAACAACACAAAGUCCUACCAACAGGUGAAGAAACAACAAAGUCCUACCAACAGGUGAAGAAACAACAACGUCCUACCAACAGGUAAAUAAACAACAUAAAGUCCUACCAACAGGUAAAUAAACAACAAAGUCCUACCAACAGGUAAAAAAACAACACAAAGUCCUACCAACAGGUGAAGAAACAACAAAGUCCUACCAACAGGUAAAUAAACAACAUAAAGUCCUACCAACAGGUAAAUAAACAACAUAAAGUCCUACCAACAGGUAAAUAAACAACAUAAAGUCCUACCAACAGGUGAAGAAACAACAAAGUCCUACCAACAGGUAAAUAAACAACAUAAAGUCCUACCAACAGGUAAAUAAACAACAUAAAGUCCUCCUCCCAACAGGUAAAUAAACAACAUAAAGUCCUACCAACAGGUAAAUAAACAACAAAGUCCUACCAACAGGUAAAAAAACAACACAAAGUCCUACCAACAGGUGAAGAAACAACAAAGUCCUACCAACAGGUAAAUAAACAACAUAAAGUCCUACCAACAGGUAAAUAAACAACAUAAAGUCCUACCAACAGGUAAAUAAACAACAUAAAGUCCUACCAACAGGUGAAUAAACAACAAAGUCCUACCAACAGGUAAAUAAACAACAAAGUCCUACCAACAGGUGAAUAGAGCUGGAGGUGGAACUCUGACCUGCU